rnacentral:misc_RNA from 1 species
UAAAAGGAUACCUUCGGGUAUACCCCAUCCGUGUCUACAUACUCUUGUUUGCUUUGGCAGGCCGUGGUCUUCCACUGUGGGCUCUGCCUGCAUGUGCCUGCCAGAGGACCAAACUCUGAAUGUUAGUGAUGUCUGAGUACUAUAUAAUAGUUA